GCUUCGAAAAAACUACGCAGGUAAAGCAGUGAAUUAGGAAAGAAAGGAUACCUGAUUUCCUCGACCGGUGUACUUGAGCUGACACGAUUCAAACCCAUGACGGCGGCGGAAGAGGUUGUGAAUCUCACGAGCUUUAACAUCAUCAGGAAGUCCCGAGACAAACAGCGUUUUUAUAUCAUUCUGCUCAUUUUUGUACGCAUAUACUGGUUGAGGUACGUAGUAAGGAUCGUACGCCGGUAGGUGAGCCAUCUUCACGGGGGCCGGGGCCGGCGCCGGUCGCAGUAGAGGAGGUAAAUGCAAGGGCCUUAGACGGUAAAUUACGAUAUACUCGCCUGAAUUUCACA
rnacentral:misc_RNA from 1 species